UUACGACCAUAUGACGUUGAAACACCGAUUCCCGUACGAUCACCGAAGUUAAGCAACAUCGAACCUGCUCAGUAUCUAGAUGGGCCACCGCAGGGGAAUAACAAGCGUUGUAAG